AUUGAACGCUGGCGGCAUGCCUUACACAUGCAAGUCGAACGGUAACAGGCCUUCGGAUGCUGACGAGUGGCGAACGGGUGAGUAAUACAUCGGAACGUGCCUAGUAGUGGGGGAUAACUACUCGAAAGAGUGGCUAAUACCGCAUGAGAUCUACGGAUGAAAGCAGGGGAUCGCAAGACCUUGUGCUACUAGAGCGGCCGAUGGCAGAUUAGGUAGUUGGUGGGAUAAAAGCUUACCAAGCCGACGAUCUGUAGCUGGUCUGAGAGGACGAUCAGCCACACUGGGACUGAGACACGGCCCAGACUCCUACGGGAGACAGCAGUGGGGAAUUUUGGACAAUGGGCGAAAGCCUGAUCCAGCAAUGCCGCGUGCAGGAUGAAGGCCUUCGGGUUGUAAACUGCUUUUGUACGGAACGAAAAGCCCCGGGUUAAUACCCUGGGGUCAUGACGGUACCGUAAGAAUAAGCACCGGCUAACUACGUGCCAGCCGCCGCAGUAA
rnacentral:rRNA from 1 species